UAUUUGAGUUCAUUUGGGUGAAUGAUUUGUCUAUAGUUUUANCAGGCUGGAUGUGGCUCUGGGCAGCCUGGUCUAGUGGCUGGUGACACAUAGCAUUGGGGUUGAAACUAGAUCAUUGUGGUCCUUUUCAAUCCAGGUCAUUCUGUGAUUUGGUUCUCAGCUUGUUCUGCUCCCCACACCCCUUUCAGGUUGUUAUUCUUUCCCCCCAGGUUCAUUGUUCAUCUUGUGAAAGUGGACUUGAUGCUGUUUCAAUUCCAUCCACAGAGGUCAAAACUUCAGAUGAGUUCAGAUUUUUGUGCUGAUUUCAAUCAAGUACAAGGUUACUUUACAGCAGGAAAGUUACUUAAGUCUCUCGCUACAUUUUUAGUUGGAUUAUACAAAUUUGCACAUAAGUCAUUUCAGUACAGCAUAUGGAUCUGUCAUGUUCUAUCUGUGUUGCAUUAUUCAUUACUUGUAUAGCUAGAUGAGGAAAUGAAGUUCACUUCAUCUGCUACUGUGAAAGUCUGCUGCAUUCAUGGGACUGCAGUGAUUUCCUGCUCUUGGUAGAACAGGCAGGGUAGAGUGUCGCAGCUGUGUUCAGUCUUGUUUUUUCAAAAAUAAGUGACUGUUAGCUUCAGGUGGUUAAGAAUGUUCCUUAGGCUGCGUAGCUUUAAUCUGUAAUAGGUGUUCAGAAUAAAAUGCAAGAAAAGUCCGGUCAUACUUGCUCAUACUUUUUGAGUUNUAACACUAUAAAGGAAGAAAGGACAGAAGUGAACAGAUGUGCUGCUGAGAAGGGCUCUUGGAGGAGAAAUACUGCUUUGUGGUGCUUUAAAAUAAAGUGAAACUGCUGCACCUGUUUGUGCAGAUUCUCCAAGCAGUCUGUGCUUGUGGACGCAGGGUAACCAUCAAAGUACAAGUAGCAGUGCACUUACAUAUUUUUGAAGGAAAUAAAUUUUUUUAGUUCUGUUUGUAAAGCGAAAUUGACCUUACAGAUUAUGUCACUGCUAUUGCUCUACCAUGAGCCUCCAAAUAAUCCGUAGUUUUUGUGUUUUUAAGGUGUUUAGGGAUAUUCCUUCGGCAAAUCACUUAUUUUUGCUAAAUAGCCUUCAUUGCUGGUGUGUGUCAAAGUAGGUAGCAUAGUACAGACCAGAUGUUAAAAGAAAUUACAAGCAGAGGCUAACUAAAAUUCUGGUUUGAUCUUAUAUUUGAAGAUACAAAGACGUUCUCAUCCGUGUGUUCUUGCUCUACUGCUUGAUGUCAUGAAACCAGAGUCUGUGUUGUGCUUAUCCAAACAGCAGCAUGUGAUGCCUCACUUCCAUUGCACUGUCUGUACCCAAAGGGGAAAAAGCAUAUUCUGAAAGUCUGCUGUGUUGUUUUUUAAGAGGAUCUUCAUAAGCAUGGGUGGGAUCUCUUAGGACUUCAGGAGCGUUGUCAGUUGUGACCCUUCUUGAGGCUAGAGGUAUUUAUCUCAUGGUGCAGCUUUAGUUCCUCUGACAAGUAGUAACCUGCUUGAGGAGGCGAGGCAGGUGUUCAAUAUGUAGUGUCUGGUCACUUAGAUUCAAGGUGCUGAUUUUCUGUGAUCACCUUUAUCUCGUAAUACCAUUUGUAAGUAUACAGCUUAAUUGGGACAGGCAUAUAUGCAGUGAUUUUGAUGUGGUAUCUCGAAGUAGAAGUAAUUCAAGUGUAUAAAGCCCAUAUGAAAUGAUUUCCCCCUUGAUGACAAGGAUGCACAGGAGUGGAUGAGAAAAUGAUUAAAAACAGUAGAGGAUCUCCACGUGAAAGUAUGAUGCACUGAAGGCUUCUCUACUGUGCGUACCUACGGUGGUAACAGCAGUCUCUGUUUCUUUUGUUGCCUCACCUUGGUUAUCAGAGCUGCCAGGAUACAGCCUUAGCUGCUGUUUCCUGCUGAGUAUAAGCAAUUGAACGUGUUCAUACCAAAAUACCUAUUUUUCAGGGGAAAGGAGUAGCAGACCAUUGGAUAUUGUAUUGCUGAUUUCAUCUCAGUAGCCUUGUAAUUUUCUAAAGCCCUCUUUAAAAACAAAAACUAUAAUUUGAACUGUUCUGUGGCAAAUGGUACUAAUCACUUAAGCUGUGUUCUUUAACUCCUGUUGUGUUUAAACCUUAAUAAUUAAGGAAAAAAACCCUCAGAAAAGAACUAGUUCCUUUUCUGCCAUGCAGACAAUUCUCAUGAAUUAAAUAUCAGCUAAUUAGAA
ensembl:lncRNA